ensembl:lncRNA
CGUUUGAUGAAAUGUGUCUUCCAAACAAUGUUGAAUAUGUCAUUCCUUCGUAUAAUAUAAUUCACAGGAAUGUGAUGCGUUUGUACCUUCGCGUUGAGCGUCCCGCCCUGUCAGAAAGCCCAGAUAAGAUACAUUUAUUUUACCUCUUGCUUACAUUUGUGCCUGACAGUGUCUGCAUUUGCAUGAGAAAUACAGAACCUAUCUAAAACUCGAAAUUUGAAGGUAUUAAUUUUGGAAGCGCGAAUGCUUAGACAAAGUGCCAAAAAUAUACGCUCGCUAAGAUAUGAUUUCCUUCCUAAUAUAAAAGUUGAUGUCUGUAUUUCUCCACAUUCUUGCCAAAGCAUGGGUAACACCCCGUUGCAACUGAGCCUAACCACACCCUUCCCCCUGCUUAUCAAAACUGAUGAGCCCUCCUCCUCCCCAGUUUGCCAUUUACUGGCCGCCAUCUUUACUCUUAUGCGCUCUGCCUAGCAACAGGCGCUGGGCGCCAUUUUUUGACGGGUCUCCUUGUUCCUGUCUUUCAUCUGUCUCUAGUCCUGCAGUUUCUGGCUUCCCCCCCUAUGGCUUCUCCAAGAUGGCCCCCUAAUCUCAGCCUUCUUACCAGUGGGGUUCUUGGUAGGGAGACUCUCCUCUGGAGUUGGGACUCACCUGACCACGCCUUGAUGUGGGAUCCACGAUCGGUUUCCGAGUCAACCGACAAUACGCACAGCGCCAUAUUAACCCUUGGACCUGUGCUCAACAGAGUGUAAACAAAGUUCCUACAAAGUGUGUAAUCAGCAGAUGUCUCCAUGGGGCGGCCCAACGCCACUUGGGCAUACCCUGCCUCUCCCCCUCCUCGCCAGGUCCAUUUUGGCUUUUUUUCUCUCUUUUUUUUAUUGUAUGUUUAUUCUUUCAAGCCGAGCAGCUAUGUUGAUUAGGCUCUUAAUGUGCCCCCAGGUUGUGAAUUCUGCUUUGCUCAGCCAAUGUGCAUCCAUAUGCCCAAAAGGAAUGCUCAAGUCCUCUUAGCAUAGGACACCCUAUCAUGCUAUACUGAUUUAAGCGAACAGAUGUUAAAUAAUUCAACAGUAAUUUUGACCUUUAUGAAGCGGAAGACACGGCAGUGGAAGGUCAAAGAACUCAAAGAAAUCGCCGGCCCUUGUUCAGUUCAAUAAUAAUUGGUUUUGCAAAUAUAUUUAUUUUUCCCGAAAUGUCUUUGUCCAAUCCAAAUUUUCCACAGAAUUCCAAGAAUAUGAUACGCAAUCCACAUCAAGCAUAACUCAAACUGAAAAAAGAACAGUUUCAUAAUGAUACGAGAUAAAAGGAUACAAGAUAAUUCAGUAACUAGGUAAUACCAUGAUCGAUAUCAAUAUUACAUGCAGUAGGAUUGUUUGGUAUGAGUGUCGACCCGGUCAACGUCCGAACAAUCUACCAUGCUUUGUAUGUUUUAAGGUAAACUACAACCUUAGAUUUUUUAACAAUUACAAUACAAACAAUAAAAUAAAUAUAAUUUGACACUGGAUGCGUUUCAUUGACACCGCCUGUUCGC